GUGGGGAAUCUUAGACAAUGGGCGCAAGCCUGAUCUAGCCAUGCCGCGUGAUCGAUGAAGGCCUUAGGGUUGUAAAGAUCUUUCAGUGGGGAAGAUAAUGACUGUACCCACAGAAGAAGCCCCGGCUAACUCCGUGCCAGCAGCCGCGGUAAUACGGAGGGGGCUAGCGUUGUUCGGAAUUACUGGGCGUAAAGCGCACGUAGGCGGAACAGAAAGUCAGAGGUGAAAUCCAAGGGCUCAACCUUGGAACUGCCUUUGAAACUCCUGUGCUUGAGUACGAGAGAGGUGAGUGGAAUUCCGGGUGUAGAGGUGAAAUUCGUAGAUAUCCGGAGGAACACCAGUAGCGAAGGCGGCUUCCUGGACAGUAACUGACGCUGAGACGCGAAAGCGUGGAGAGCAAACAGGAUUAGAUACCCUUGUAGUCC
rnacentral:rRNA from 1 species